UGGGUAGUUUGAUUGGGGUGGUUUUUUUUUAAAGAGUAAUGGAGGAGUUUGAAGGUAUGUUUAGUGUGGUUGGAUAUUGUGUAUUGUGUGUAAAGGUAUAAGUGUGUUUGAUUGUAAGAUUGAUGGAUUAAGUAGGUAGGAAAUUAGGAUUUAGUGAUCUGGUGGUUUUGUAUGGAAGGGUUAUUGUUUAAUGGAUAAAAGGUAUUUUGGGGAUAAUAGGUUGAUAUUGUUUAAGAGUUUAUAUUGAUGGUGGUGUUUGGUAUUUUGAUGUUGGUUUAUUAUAUUUUGGGGUUGUAGUUGGUUUUAAGGGUAUG
rnacentral:rRNA from 1 species